UCCCUUCGGCUUACAGCAUCCGUCGGAGCUUCUCCUCUCUCCGCCUACGCGGUGCGAGUGUGCCGUGUGCGCCAGUGCGCCCGCAAGCCCGCAAGUUCGCGCUCCGCCACGCAGCCCAAGCUCUCUCUACCCGCGCGCUGAUCGGCCACGUUCGUCAGCCGGGCCCCACGGAAAAAGGCACCGGGGCCGCGCGCGAGCCGAGAGAAUUAUACAGGACGAUUUGUUAUUUCAAUUUUUCGACUAAAAACAUAAUCAAACCAGUUAGUAAACGAACGAACGAACGAACGGGCCGGGACGGGGCGAGAAGCACCAGACUAAUUUUAUCUAAGUACACACAACCGCGAGCGCACACCGGGGGAGGAAAGUAGACACCACGUACGACGAUCGGGAACAUCGCCUUUUUUUUUGCCGAUCACCGGGACUCCUAGGAGAACAGAAACGACGUGCUUCGGUGGUGAUUCUAUUUGCGCCGAGAGAUUACCAAAAGACACUCGAACGCGCGCGCGACCCUCGAUCGCGUCCGACGAAACCGUGAUCAAACAGUUCCAUCUGCAAAACGAUCUCGGACGCGGGAGCUUGCAGUGACCGUGACCAAGAAGAGGAUUUUACCACGCCGCACGGACUGCCGCCGACGAGUGCGCCGACUAAAUUUUUGUGAACACCCUACGAGCACGUCUCGAAUUCUUCCCCGAUUGGAAUCGAACACACAGAUUAACGAAUGACGCCAUAGCUGACAGUCGGUCGGUGCGCAAAUAAAAGGACAAAAAAGGAGACAGCAUCUUUCGCAUCGCCACGGCAGGUUCCUGACGAAUAAGAAGAACCGCGGUAACGAAAAUCGAGGCGAGGGAGAGAGGGGCAGCCAGCCCUUUGGUGAGCUCGAAGGAUG